rfam:Kangiella koreensis DSM 16069, complete genome.
UGCGGGGUGGAGCAGCCUGGUAGCUCGUCGGGCUCAUAACCCGAAGGUCGUUGGUUCAAAUCCAGCCCCCGCUA